rnacentral:rRNA from 1 species
GUGCAGCAGGCGAGAAAACCUCACAAUGUGCGAAAGCACGAUGAGGGAAUCCCAAGUGCUUGCACGUAAGUGUAAGCUGUUUCUCUGUCUAAAACGCAGAGAGAGUAAGGGCUGGGUAAGACGGGUGCCAGCCGCCGCGGUAAUACCUGCAGCUCGAGUGGUGACCGUUAUUAUUGGGCCUAAAACGUCCGUAGCCGGUUUAAUAAAUGCCUGGGUAAAUCGGACCGCUUAACGGUUCGAAUUCCGGGUAGACUGUUAAACUUGAGACCGGGAGAAGUUAGAGGUACUCCUGGGGUAGAGGUGAAAUUCUGUAAUCCUAGGGGGACCACCAGUGGCGAAGGCGUCUAACUAGAACGGGUCUGACGGUGAGGGACGAAGCCCUGGGGCGCAAACGGGAUUAGAUACCCCUGUAGU